rnacentral:snRNA from 1 species
AAAACUGGCCCCUCUUUGAGCUGUGGUCAAGUGAAAAAUUCUCUAAGUUGUAUCUGUUCUUAUCAGUUUAAUAUCUGAUAUGUCCUUUAUUUGAGGAUUGUAUAUUAAAUUGAUUUUUGAAACAGGGGGAUGGAAUAGGAGCUUGCUCUGUCCACCCCAUGCAUUGACCUGGUAUUGCAGUGUCUCCAGGAACAGUGCAUCUCCC